rnacentral:rRNA from 1 species
GAUGAACGCUGGCGGCGUGCUUAACACAUGCAAGUCGAACGGUGAAGCCAAGCUUGCUUGGUGGAUCAGUGGCGAACGGGUGAGUAACACGUGAGCAACCUGCCCUGGACUCUGGGAUAAGCGCUGGAAACGGCGUCUAAUACUGGAUAUGAGACGUGAUCGCAUGGUCAACGUUUGGAAAGAUUUUUCGGUCUGGGAUGGGCUCGCGGCCUAUCAGCUUNUUGGUGAGGUAAUGGCUCACCAAGGCGUCGACGGGUAGCCGGCCUGAGAGGGUGACCGGCCACACUGGGACUGAGACACGGCCCAGACUCCUACGGGAGGCAGCAGUGGGGAAUAUUGCACAAUGGGCGGAAGCCUGAUGCAGCAACGCCGCGUGAGGGAUGACGGCCUUCGGGUUGUAAACCUCUUUUAGCAGGGAAGAAGCGAAAGUGACGGUACCUGCAGAAAAAGCGCCGGCUAACUACGUGCCAGCAGCCGCGGUAAUACGUAGGGCGCAAGCGUUAUCCGGAAUUAUUGGGCGUAAAGAGCUCGUAGGCGGUUUGUCGCGUCUGCUGUGAAAUCCCGAGGCUCAACCUCGGGCCUGCAGUGGGUACGGGCAGACUAGAGUGCGGUAGGGGAGAUUGGAAUUCCUGGUGUAGCGGUGGAAUGCGCAGAUAUCAGGAGGAACACCGAUGGCGAAGGCAGAUCUCUGGGCCGUAACUGACGCUGAGGAGCGAAAGGGUGGGGAGCAAACAGGCUUAGAUACCCUGGUAGUCCACCCCGUAAACGUUGGGAACUAGUUGUGGGGACCAUUCCACGGUUUCCGUGACGCAGCUAACGCAUUAAGUUCCCCGCCUGGGGAGUACGGCCGCAAGGCUAAAACUCAAAGGAAUUGACGGGGACCCGCACAAGCGGCGGAGCAUGCGGAUUAAUUCGAUGCAACGCGAAGAACCUUACCAAGGCUUGACAUACACCAGAACGGGCCAGAAAUGGUCAACUCUUUGGACACUGGUGAACAGGUGGUGCAUGGUUGUCGUCAGCUCGUGUCGUGAGAUGUUGGGUUAAGUCCCGCAACGAGCGCAACCCUCGUUCUAUGUUGCCAGCACGUAAUGGUGGGAACU